UGCCAGCAUUCAAAGGUGACCUGGGAAGCCUGAACCAAAAUGAGGAGAUGACACCUCCACCACGUCUACAUUCUCCUCGGCAGCAACAGUUGGAGUGAGUUCUGAGGGCAGCCACCCAGCUUCCAACAGCUGUAGAAAAUCCCUAUGAUGGAGAUGCUUCAGGAGUGAUGGAGGAGCACUACAAGCAACUGGAAACACUGAACAAGACUCACCUAUGGAGAGCACAUGCCACAGCUCCACCUUGCCAAGACACAGGCCGUAGAGGAAGCACUUGUCUCGGGCCACAUACUUGAGCUGCUCAUCCUCCAGUGCUACCUGAGCAACAGUGCGGUGAACUUCAGUGAGAUGUCCCACCCUUGUGCUUGGCUGCGCACUCGGCUGGGGGACGUCAAUGUUAUGUUAGUUUGAGGAAAUAAAAUGGUGAAAUAAA